CCUACGGGAGGCUGCAGUGAGGAAUAUUGGUCAAUGGCCGUAAGGCUGAACCAGCCAAGUAGCGUGAGGGAAGACUGCCCUAUGGGUUGUAAACCUCUUUUAUGCGGGGAUAAAGGUGUCCACGUGUGGCUGUUUGCAGGUACCGCAUGAAUAAGGACCGGCUAAUUCCGUGCCAGCAGCCGCGGUAAUACGGAAGGUCCGGGCGUUAUCCGGAUUUAUUGGGUUUAAAGGGAGCGUAGAUGGGUUGUUAAGUCAGUUGUGAAAGUUUGUGGCUCAACCGUAAAAUUGCAAUUGAUACUGGCAGUAUUGAGGACAGUGGAGGUAGGCGGAAUUCGUGGGGUAGCGGUGAAAUGCUGAGAUAUCACGAAGAACCCCGAUUGCGAAGGCAGCUUACUAAACUGCCACUGACAUUGAUGCUCGAAAGUGUGGGUAUCAAACAGGAUUAGAGACCCUUGUAGUC
rnacentral:rRNA from 1 species